ACUCCUACGGGAGGCAGCAGUGGGGAAUAUUGGACAAUGGGGGCAACCCUGAUCCAGCAAUGCCGCGUGUGUGAAGAAGGCCUGAGGGUUGUAAAGCACUUUCAGUGGGGAGGAAGUUGAUUAGGUUAAGAGCUAGAUUGAUUGACGUUACCCACAGAAGAAGCACCGGCUAACUCCGUGCCAGCAGCCGCGGUAAUACGGAGGGUGCGAGCGUUAAUCGGAAUUACUGGGCGUAAAGGGUGCGUAGGUGGUUGUUUAAGUUAUCUGUGAAAUCCCCGGGCUUAACCUGGGUUGGUCAGAUAAGACUGGAUGACUCGAGUACGGGAGAGGGCAGUGGAAUUUCCGGUGUAGCGGUGAAAUGCGUAGAGAUCGGAAGGAACACCAGUGGCGAAGGCGGCUGCCUGGCCUGAUACUGACACUGAGGCACGAAAGCGUGGGUAGCAAACAGGAUUAGAUACCCUGGUA
rnacentral:rRNA from 1 species